AGGGUGUGUGGUGAGAUAGAGCAAUUAUGUCCUUGGAGAGCUGAGAAAAACAACUCCUGCUGAUCUGGCUACCAGAAGAAGCCUGUCUUUCCCCUUUCCUCAAGCCAGCCUCAUGUACAUUUGUUCCUGGGGUGCAGAAGGACAGAACCCUUGUAGCCUUCCAGCAGUUUUGGCCAUCACAGCAUCAAACUAUUGAGCUCUAACUUCCUGGAAGAAGAGCCACGGUCUGGUUUCAGCAGACCCUGUUCUGACCGGCAGAGGCUGCCAGGAGUUUACUGAAAGCCCUCCAGCUGAGUACACAGCCCCCGGGGAGCAGGAAUGGGCAGAGGGGCAGCUGAACCCCAGCCAGCGCUGCUGGGAAGAAGACGGAGGAGAGAGCACAGGGGCGUCCAGCACGUCUGCCACUAACAGGGGGGAGCCCGGCAGCUGGCUUGCAGCUGUUUCUUAGCUCCAAGGAGCCUCGCCUCUGGAAUGAUCCUUUGCAGUGGCUUGGGCAACCCGGGCCAAGGAGCUUGCAGCCUCAGAGGUGGUGAGGCUUCAGUGGAGAAGGACAGGGCAAGUUCUGAGGUAGCAUGGAACGUCGUCACCCUCCACUGAGUGUCCUUGAAAGCUUGUCAGCCUGCUGAGGUUGGGGGU
rnacentral:lncRNA from 1 species